ACGGUCUGGAAAGUCCGACGGUACAGGGUGAUAGUCCCGUACACCAAAAUGCACAGGUUGUGAACUCGAAGAGUAGGGCGGGACACGUGGUAUCCUGUCUGAAUAUGGGGGGACCAUCCUCCAAGGCUAAAUACUCCUGACUGACCGAUAGUGAACCAGUACCGUGAGGGAAAGGCGAAAAGAACCCCGGCGAGGGGAGUGAAAAAGAACCUGAAACCGUGUACGUACAAGCAGUGGGAGCACCUUCGGGUGUGACUGCGUACCUUUUGUAUAAUGGGUCAGCGACUUAUAUUCUGUAGCAAGGUUAACCGUAUAGGGGAGCCGCAGGGAAACCGAGUCUUAACUGGGCGUUAAGUUGCAGGGUAUAGACCCGAAACCCGGUGAUCUAGCCAUGGGCAGGUUGAAGGUUGGGUAACACUAACUGGAGGACCGAACCGACUAAUGUUGAAAAAUUAGCGGAUGACUUGUGGCUGGGGGUGAAAGGCCAAUCAAACCGGGAGAUAGCUGGUUCUCCCCGAAAGCU
rnacentral:rRNA from 1 species